CUCUUCGGAGAUGGAUUAGUGGCGAACGGGUGAGUAACACGUGGGCAAUCUGCCCUGCACUCUGGGACAAGCCCUGGAAACGGGGUCUAAUACCGGAUGAUACUUCUGCUCGCAUGGGUGGGGGUUGAAAGCUCCGGCGGUGCAGGAUGAGCCCGCGGCCUAUCAGCUUGUUGGUGAGGUAGUGGCUCACCAAGGCGACGACGGGUAGCCGGCCUGAGAGGGCGACCGGCCACACUGGGACUGAGACACGGCCCAGACUCCUACGGGAGGCAGCAGUGGGGAAUAUUGCACAAUGGGCGAAAGCCUGAUGCAGCGACGCCGCGUGAGGGAUGACGGCCUUCGGGUUGUAAACCUCUUUCAGCAGGGAAGAAGCGCAAGUGACGGUACCUGCAGAAGAAGCGCCGGCUAACUACGUGCCAGCAGCCGCGGUAAUACGUAGGGCGCAAGCGUUGUCCGGAAUUAUUGGGCGUAAAGAGCUCGUAGGCGGUCUGUCGCGUCGGAUGUGAAAGCCCGGGGCUUAACCCCGGGUCUGCAUUCGAUACGGGCAGACUAGAGUGUGGUAGGGGAGAUCGGAAUUCCUGGUGUAGCGGUGAAAUGCGCAGAUAUCAGAGGAACACCGGUGGCGAAGCGGAUCUCUGGGCCAUUACUGACGCUGAGGAGCGAAAGCGUGGGGAGCGAACAGGAUUAGAUACCCUGGUAGUCCACGCCGUAAAACGGUGGGAACUAGGUGUUGGCGACAUUCACGUCGUCGUGCGCAGCUACGCA
rnacentral:rRNA from 1 species